rnacentral:rRNA from 1 species
AGUGAACGCUGGCGGUAGGCCUAACACAUGCAAGUCGAACGGCAGCACAGUAAGAGCUUGCUCUUACGGGUGGCGAGUGGCGGACGGGUGAGGAAUACAUCGGAAUCUACUUUUUCGUGGGGGAUAACGUAGGGAAACUUACGCUAAUACCGCAUACGACCUACGGGUGAAAGCAGGGGAUCUUCGGACCUUGCGCGAUUGAAUGAGCCGAUGUCGGAUUAGCUAGUUGGCGGGGUAAAGGCCCACCAAGGCGACGAUCCGUAGCUGGUCUGAGAGGAUGAUCAGCCACACUGGAACUGAGACACCGUCCAGACUCCUACGGGAGGCAGCAGUGGGGAAUAUUGGACAAUGGGCGCAAACCUGAUCCAGCCAUACCGCGUGGGUGAAGAAGGCCUUCGGGUUGUAAAGCCCUUUUGUUGGGAAAGAAAAGCAGCAGGUUAAUACCCCGCUGUUCUGACGGUAACCAAAGAAUAAGCACCGGCUAACUUCGUG